AACGAACGCUGGCGGCAGGCUUAACACAUGCAAGUCGAACGCCCCGCAAGGGGAGUGGCAGACGGGUGAGUAACGCGUGGGAAUCUACCCAGUUCUACGGAACAACAGAGGGAAACUUCUGCUAAUACCGUAUACGCCCUAAGGGGGAAAGAUUUAUCGGAAUUGGAUGAGCCCGCGUAAGAUUAGCUAGUUGGUGAGGUAAUGGCUCACCAAGGCGACGAUCUUUAGCUGGUCUGAAAGGAUGAUCAGCCACACUGGGACUGAGACACGGCCCAGACUCCUACGGGAGGCAGCAGUGGGGAAUAUUGGACAAUGGGCGCAAGCCUGAUCCAGCCAUGCCGCGUGAGUGAUGAAGGCCUUAGGGUUGUAAAGCUCUUUCAGUGGGGAAGAUAAUGACGGUACCCACAGAAGAAGCCCCGGCUAACUUCGUGCCAGCCGCCGCCGUAAUAC
rnacentral:rRNA from 1 species